UGCAUGUUUUUUUUUAACACUACCACACUGUGAAAAGAGAAAAUGAAUUGCACGCUUAUCCCCCCGGGGGAAAAAUCAAAUAAUAUGAUAAAGAUAUUACAUAUCUGGAUGACUCGCCAAACAAGUGUCCAUACACCUCUCCGUUGAUCUUGCAAGUUUCAUCCAAAAAAAGGAAAUUUGACUCGUAGUAUUGUUCUGUAAAAGUCCACAAGGUAGAAGCACCAUCUUGCUAGUUUUGUCUUCGAGGCCUGAACAUGAACAUACACCUUCGAAGAACUGAAUAACUAAACACCUAGCUGCUAGCUAUACCAGUCGUCUCCAUCAAGAACCAACAGCUGCCACCAAUCGCCGAUGGUGCCACUACCACCAAAUCACCUAUACACAUGGCAUGAUGGCCUGGACUCUGUCAGAACAACAUACAAAUGAACUACAUCAGUGUAUAUACAAGCAUUUUACAGAAAGGAAAAAGAACACAUGGAAUGUAUUACCUUUUUUAUUAUAGAAAAGGUUAGAACUAAAAUGUUAUUGGCUGAUCUAGCGGCUAACAUAUUGGUCGCUAGUAACUAACUAUUCAUCAGAGUAAGGAGGAUGAUAGGAGCACUUGAACGAUCAGCAAAUUUAAGUGCCUACACUAACACAAAAAACCUUGUCACUAGGAAUGAAUGUCUUUUGGAGUAAAGGAUAAAUCCAACCUAUUUGGUUUUGAUUUGAGACAAACCUUCGUAGCUAGUUCAGGUCCAGUCUCUACAAGAAGUGGACUAGCAGCGGUCGUUGAGAAAAAAGAGUUGUAACAACAGAGAUUCUUCCGAGGCUCCAAACCUACAUGCAGCGUCACAUUAUGCAGUUGUUAGCAUAUAAGCUAUGGCUGCGGAUCAAGAUAAUUGCGAACAUGAGACUCCAUUUCGUUGUUUGUUGAUGCUGCUAACUGCAGAAGUUCACCAAAAAAUACUAGUGUAAAAAAAAUGGAGAAUUUUUUGAGUUUUGAAAAUACUGACCGCUAGCCUCUCGGCCCGACGAUGUACGCCGGCGCCCGGCGGCGAGGUUCUAAACUCGUGAAUUUUUGCGCAUGUAGACUCGCAAAAACACUCUAGAACACGGAUUAAUCUUUUUGGUGCUGCGCGCUCAACUGCAGCGUUUUCUUCUCUCUACUAUUCUGAAGAACGAGAACACGAAAAACAAUUACAGGUACUGCUCGCUCGACGUGUGUGUGUUCAUGACGCAUCCAUCCCCACGUCCACGCGAAACGGCUGGCUAAAUGUGCGAGCUAAUCACGCACCCACUACUCCUAGAUGGAGACUGCAUUCUGCAUAUGCAUUUCUCGAGAUAAGAAGUGAUAGGAGAGUAAAAUAUUUUGUUUUUCAUAAUCUGUUCAGGUAGAGUUUUCUGAAAAUCACAUUUGUUAUUUUUCCAUUAUAUCCCUUACUGAUCUAGCAAAUUGCCGUGUAAUAUAAGAGUAAAGUGCCCCCCCCCCCCCCCCCCAAAAAAAAUAUUUUUGAUAUUUGCACCCCCGUCCCCCAACCCAAACUGAAGUUUUGGCUUUCAGCUUCAAAACGAGUAAUGUGAGCAAGGAUGAACAAUGUUGAGUCAAUGAGUCACAUACUUAUCAUCAGUUGUUUUCAACUCAGUCCACGCUACAAAAAUUCAAAGUAAGAAAAGAACACAAGGUUACCAGAAAAAUGGUCCUGCCUUAGCAUUGUGGCGCAGUUUUCUGAGCGUUCACCUAGCGCAAGAAACAUAACUUCAUAUGGGAACAGUGAGCUCUACCAAUAACAGGAAUUCGAUACAAACUUUUACUCCCCACAUUCUAAAUUAUAAGUCAUUGCAGCUUUCUAAGAGAGUCAAAACAUCUUAAGUUUGGACAAAACUAUAGAGAGAAUUUCAAUACCCUAUAACAUCAAAAUAGACAUAUUAUAAACGAUAAUUAACGAAGAAUCUAAUGCUACUUAUUUGGUAUCUUAGAUAUCAUUAUUCAAUUAUAUAAUUUUGUUAAAUUUGAUUUGCUUUGACUCACAUUGUUUUUAUUAUAUAAAUCUGGUACCGUAAUUCAUGAAAGCAAUCUGUCGAACACGCUGUGGGCGGCACGUCGCACUCCUCUGGCCACCACACGAGCAGGGGUUGCUCAGGACGCGCGCCCUCGUGGCCGACGUCGCUGCGUCUCAAUCUCAUCCGUCGAUGUCGUCCCCUCGGUCGCACCCAGUCCAUCCACGUCGGCCUCCGCGGCGUGCCCGGCCAUGGCCAACUCCGGUCACUCACGUCACGCGGGGCGAGCGGCGGGCGCGGGCAGCCAGGCCGGCACAGGGGCGCGCCAGCACGUGAAAAUCCAGGACCGCCGGCUUGCGGUGGGUUGUGU
rnacentral:lncRNA from 1 species